rnacentral:rRNA from 1 species
CCUACGGGAGGCAGCAGUGGGGAAUAUUGCGCAAUGGACGAAAGUCUGACGCAGCAACGCCGCGUGAGGGAUGACGGCCUUCGGGUUGUAAACCUCUUUCAGCAGGGACGAAGCGAGAGUGACGGUACCUGCAGAAGAAGGACCGGCCAACUACGUGCCAGCAGCCGCGGUAAUACGUAGGGUCCGAGCGUUGUCCGGAAUUAUUGGGCGUAAAGGGCUCGUAGGCGGUUCGUCACGUCGGGAGUGAAAACUCGGAGCUCAACUCCGAGCCUGCUUCCGAUACGGGCAGACUAGAGGUAGGCAGGGGAGAGCGGAACUCCUGGUGUAGCGGUGGAAUGCGCAGAUAUCAGGAAGAACACCGGUGGCGAAGGCGGCUCUCUGGGCCUUACCUGACGCUGAGGAGCGAAAGCGUGGGUAGCGAACAGGAUUAGAUACCCUGGUAGUCCACGCCGUAAACGUUGGGCGCUAGGUGUGGGGGACAGUUCCACGUCCUCCGUGCCGCAGCUAACGCAUUAAGCGCCCCGCCUGGGGAGUACGGCCGCAAGGCUAAAACUCAAAUGAAUUGACGGCUGAGACGNGCGAGACGACGACGAGGAGAG